CCUACGGGAGGCAGCAGUGGGGGAUAUUGCACAAUGGGGGAAACCCUGAUGCAGCGACGCCGCGUGAGGGAAGACGGUUUUCGGAUUGUAAACCUCUGUCUUCAGGGACGAAAUCAAUGACGGUACCUGAGGAGGAAGCCACGGCUAACUACGUGCCAGCAGCCGCGGUAAUACGUAGGUGGCAAGCGUUGUCCGGAAUUACUGGGUGUAAAGGGAGCGUAGGCGGGAAUGCAAGUUGAAUGUUUAAACUAUCGGCUCAACUGAUAAUCGCGUUCAAAACUGCAUUUCUUGAGUGGAGUAGAGGCAGGCGGAAUUCCUAGUGUAGCGGUGAAAUGCGUAGAUAUUAGGAGGAACACCAGUGGCGAAGGCGGCCUGCUGGGCUCUAACUGACGCUGAGGCUCGAAAGCGUGGGUAGCAAACAGGAUUAGAUACCCUGGUAGUCC
rnacentral:rRNA from 1 species